rnacentral:rRNA from 1 species
GAGCGGUAACGCGNGAGCAAUCCUGGCGACGAGCGGCGAACGGGUGAGUAAUGCUUCGGAAUCUACCCAGUAGUGGGGAAUAACCAGCCGAAAGGUUGGCUAAUACCGCAUACGUCCUACGGGAGAAAGCGGGGGAUCGUAAGACCUCGCGCUAUUGGAUGAGCCGAAGCCGGAUUAGCUAGUUGGUAGGGUAACGGCCUACCAAGGCGACGAUCCGUAGCUGGUAUGAGAGGACGACCAGCCACACUGGGACUGAGACACGGCCCAGACUACCUACGGGAGGCAGCAGUGGGGAAUAUUGGACAAUGGGGGAAACCCUGAUCCAGCGACGCCGCGUGUGUGAAGAAGGCCUGCGGGUUGUAAAGCACUUUUAGUGGGGAUGAAAAGCCUAGAGCUAAGACCGAUGGGGACUUGACCGAACCCACAGAAAAAGCACCGGCUAACUAUGUG